UGCUCGUCCCUCGCGACGCUAAGUUGGGAACCCCGCCAGGUCCGGAAGGAAGCAACGGUACCAGCGGCUGCGUGCGCCGAGGUUAGGCGGGUAGGG
rnacentral:SRP_RNA from 1 species